rnacentral:rRNA from 1 species
AACGAACGCUGGCGGCAUGCCUAACACAUGCAAGUCGAACGAUCCCUUCGGGGAUAGUGGCGCACGGGUGCGUAACGCGUGGGAACCUGCCCUUAGGUUCGGAAUAACUCAGAGAAAUUUGAGCUAAUACCGGAUAAUGCCUUCGGACCAAAGAUUUAUCGCCUUUGGAUGGGCCCGCGUUGGAUUAGCUAGUUGGUGGGGUAAAGGCCUACCAAGGCGACGAUCCAUAGCUGGUCUGAGAGGAUGAUCAGCCACACUGGGACUGAGACACGGCCCAGACUCCUACGGGAGGCAGCAGUGGGGAAUAUUGGACAAUGGGCGAAAGCCUGAUCCAGCAAUGCCGCGUGAGUGAUGAAGGCCUUAGGGUUGUAAAGCUCUUUUACCCGGGAUGAUAAUGACAGUACCGGGAGAAUAAGCCCCGGCUAACUCCGUG